rnacentral:lncRNA from 8 species
AUGCUUUUGGAUAGGGUCCUGUUUUGGUGAGGAGUCCGAAGUGUUACAUAACACCACUGCAGCGUGUUAACACACAUGUUUAUUCAAGCGUGGACCAUGCUGCACAGAAGCACACUCCCCUCUCCUCUCCCUCCCAUUUUUGGACUGGAUGACAAAACCAUAUCUGACAGGCUGAGGCUUUUAUGCAGUAGGGCAAGAGAGUGUGUCUAUGCAUGUGUGUGUGUCUGUCUGUCUGUCUGUCUGCGAGACUGUGUCUGUGUGUUAAGCUUGAGUCUAUUGAGCCCAUUGGAUGGGACUGGGGUUUACAAAGACCAUGGGCACAUAGGAGCUUCCUCAGUAUCACAGGCUUUCACUUUUCUAGUGUUUCGGAUGGUGUCUGGGCAUUCUGAUGCUGCUGCAGGGCUUGGUGAAGAUGCUGGACUAGUCUGA